UAGGGAAUAUUAGAAAUGGACGAAAGUCUGAUCUAGCAACACCGCGUGUGCGAAGAAGGCCUUCGGGUCGUAAAGCACUUUUUGGAAGGAAUAGGAAGGAAUGUACUUCCAGAAUAAGUCUCGGCUAACUACGUGCCAGCAGCCGCGGUAACACGUAGGAGGCAAACGUUAUCCGGAUUUACUGGGCGUAAAGCGCGUGUAGGUGGUACUGUAAGUAGGGCGUGAAAGCUCCCGGCUCAACUGGGAGAGGCCGUUCUAAACUGCAGAACUAGAGGAUGGUAGAGGGAGGUGGAAUUCCAGGUGUAGCGGUGGAAUGCGCAGAUAUCUGGAGGAACACCAGUGGCGAAGGCGGCCUCCUGGACCAUUCCUGACACUCAGACGCGAAAGCUAGGGUAGCAAACG
rnacentral:rRNA from 1 species